rnacentral:rRNA from 1 species
UACGUAGGGGGCAAGCGUUGUCCGGAAUCAUUGGGCGUAAAGCGCGUGUAGGCGGCCAGAAAAGUCCGCUGUGAAAACUCGAGGCUCAACUUCGAGCUGUCGGUGGAAACUUUCUGGCUAGAGUCCGGAAGAGGAGAAUGGAAUUCCUGGUGUAGCGGUGAAAUGCGCAGAUAUCAGGAAGAACACCCGCGGCGAAGGCGGUUCUCUGGGACGGUACUGACGCUGAGACGCGAAAGCGUGGGGAGCGAACAGG